AGGAUGAACGCUGGCGGUCUGCUUAACACAUGCAAGUCGAACGGAGUAGAAAUACUUAGUGGCGGACGGGUGAGUAACGCGUGAGAAUCUACCUUCAGGACGGAGACAACAGUUGGAAACGACUGCUAACCCCCGAUGUACUGAAAAGGCAAAUAUUUAUAGCCUGAAGAAGAGCUCGCGUCCGAUUAGCUAGUUGGAGAGGUAAAAGCUCACCAAGGCGACGAUCGGUAGCU
rnacentral:rRNA from 1 species